rnacentral:rRNA from 1 species
UUUGAAUAAAUGCGCAGUAUUUACUAUUAUUAAUUAAUAAAAUUAGAAUUAGUAAUUUUAUUUAGAAGAAUCAAAUUUCGUGCCAGCAGUUGCGGUUAUACGAUUUCUUUAAUUUAAAUAUUUAAGUUUCAGUUAAUAUAACAAUAAUAUAAAAUAUCUAUAAUUUUGGUGAAAUAUAUUUUAUCUUUAAAAAUUAAUUUUAUGUCUGAAAAAUUUUUGUAUAAACUAGGAUUAGAUACCCUAUUAUUAAAAAUGUGAUAAAAAUAACUUGAUUAUUAUUAGAAAUGAUCUUUAAAUUCAAAGAAUUUGGCGGUAAUUUAUCUUAUCAGAGGAACCUGUUUUAUAAUUGAUAAUCCACGAUAGAAAAAACUUUAGUUUAAUUUGUAUAUCUCUGUCAAGAAUGUUUUAUAAGAAAUAUUUUCAUAUUAUNAUUAUGUAUUUAGAAUGUCAGGUCAAGGUGCAGUUUAUAUUAAAGAAAAAAUGGGUUACAAUUAAUUAUGUAUUGGAUUAUUUUCUAAAAAAUUAGAAAAUAUGAAAUUGGAUUUGAUAAUAAAUUAAUUAAAUUUAAUUAAUUGAAAUUGGCUCUAAUUUAUGUACAUAUCGCCCGUCACUCUCAUGAUAUUAAUGAGAUAAGUCGUAACAAAGUAACUGUACCGGAAGGUGUAGUUAGAAAGA